rnacentral:rRNA from 2 species
AAUUGAUUGAUGGUGCUUGCACCUGAUUGAUUUUGGUCGCCAACGAGUGGCGGACGGGUGAGUAACACGUAGGUAACCUGCCCAGAAGCGGGGGACAACAUUUGGAAACAGAUGCUAAUACCGCAUAACAACGUUGUUCGCAUGAACAACGCUUAAAAGAUGGCUUCUCGCUAUCACUUCUGGAUGGACCUGCGGUGCAUUAGCUUGUUGGUGGGGUAACGGCCUACCAAGGCGAUGAUGCAUAGCCGAGUUGAGAGACUGAUCGGCCACAAUGGGACUGAGACACGGCCCAUACUCCUACGGGAGGCAGCAGUAGGGAAUCUUCCACAAUGGGCGCAAGCCUGAUGGAGCAACACCGCGUGAGUGAAGAAGGGUUUCGGCUCGUAAAGCUCUGUUGUUAAAGAAGAACACGUAUGAGAGUAACUGUUCAUACGUUGACGGUAUUUAACCAGAAAGUCACGGCUAACUACGUGCCAGCAGCCGCGGUAAUACGUAGGUGGCAAGCGUUAUCCGGAUUUAUUGGGCGUAAAGAGAGUGCAGGCGGUUUUCUAAGUCUGAUGUGAAAGCCUUCGGCUUAACCGGAGAAGUGCAUCGGAAACUGGAUAACUUGAGUGCAGAAGAGGGUAGUGGAACUCCAUGUGUAGCGGUGGAAUGCGUAGAUAUAUGGAAGAACACCAGUGGCGAAGGCGGCUACCUGGUCUGCAACUGACGCUGAGACUCGAAAGCAUGGGUAGCGAACAGGAUUAGAUACCCUGGUAGUCCAUGCCGUAAACGAUGAGUGCUAGGUGUUGGAGGGUUUCCGCCCUUCAGUGCCGGAGCUAACGCAUUAA